UGGUGGAGCUUACGUUCACGUAAUUCUGAUUAACUCGUGCUUUCAUUUUCUUUCGUUGUUUUCCCUCUUCACACGCUGAAGAAGAUCAAUUUCAUAUUCAAGCUCAUCUGUUCUCCAUGUGGCAACAGGUCCAAACUAGCAAGCAGGGACCGGAACCGUCGAGCUUCUCAGGGUUUGUAGUGCUGGACCAAAGAGAAGAGUCCUCCGAGGGUCCUAGAAGGGCAAGCCGCGAGUUACCAUAGAGACCGCGGAAUGUAAAGGCUCUGCACUUUGGAGUUCAGCCCCUCGUCUCUGAGGUGCGGUUCGGGAUUUUUGGAGCUAACCUGAGGAGGCCUUUGCGCUCCUUCGGCCCCACCGCGGGGAAGGCAGGACCCGCAAGGUCGGCGGAGAAGGCCAAUAACCUAAAAUGCAGAGUGGAGCCACUGAACUUCACUGGUAUCUAAAGCCAUACUGCCAAUGGACAAAAAAUGCAGAGCAGCUCCUGCCCCUUGGCUCAAAAUGUCAGUCACUGGGAGAAGGCAGUUACUUCUGAUGGAUGUUCACAGGGAUUUGGCCCCCUUGAGGAGACCUGUCCUGAGCAGCAGGCCCUGGAAGUCCUACCUGGAGAAAGACGGGACUGGAUGUGGGUACAUGAUUCACCUAGCAGAGAGAAGGUCACAGUAGUGAUGGGAGAUGAAGAGUGAGAUCUGGAUGGAGAAGAAUGGGUUCCAUCGAGUGCCCAGGAAGGGCAGAGCUUGGCAUGUGAGAAGAUUUUGGCAUCAGCUUUCGAUUCACCAGUUAUUCAACAUUGGCCCAUAGUCAUCCAGCCUGAAGACGUCAUUGCUUUUUCUUGGAUCCUGCAAAAGAGAGAUUUUGGAAGACUUAAAAAGAAGAAGAGGAGCUUCCCUGGUGGCACAGUGGUUAAGAAUCCGGCUGCCAAUGCAUGGGAUGCGGGUUCAAGCCCUGAUCCGCAAAUAUCCCACGUGCCGUGGAGCAGCUAAGCCACGUGCCACAACUACUGAAGCCUGCGCGCCUAGAGCCCUUGCUCCACAACAAGAGAAGCCACUGCAAUGAGGAGCCCGCGCACCACAAUGAAGAGUAGCCCUUGCUCGCCGCAACUAGAGAAAGCCUGCGCACAGCAACGAAGACCCAGCGAGCCAAAAAUAAAUUAAAUUAAUAAAUUUAUGAAAAAAAGAAAAAGAAACACUGAAAUGGCUGACAUAGUAACUUCAGGAACUAGCUUCCACCCUAAGGCUGGGAAUACAAAGGGAAGAGAAUCCAAAUGCUUGCGCAGGGACUUGCAGAGCUGAGACUCAGACUACCAAACGGAGGUCUCCACUUGGCUGUGGCUGGGUGCCUCUGGCGCACUGAGGAUUUGGUGCUGCCUUGUUGAUUCUGGUAACUCUGAAGAGGUACAAGGACACUGGCUUUAGGAUCACUAAAAUAGUUGGAAACUGGAACCAGUUGCUGCUUCUGGGUUAAGUUCUGUUACUGGGGUAAUAUAGGAACAAAAACAAAAAAGUAAUGAGGAAGUUCCUUCUUGCCGUGUCCUGUCUUUUAAUACUUCUUUAUGGCUCUCUGAUAGAAUGUAACUAACUAGAAGCCAUCUUGCAAAGAAGAAAUGUAGGUUUAGAUUACCAAAUCCAGAACUGUAGAGCAAGAUAUAGAAAAGUAGGUUUAGAGUAGAAAGUUUAAUAUGUAGCAUAAUCCAGUUGUGUAUCGAGUUUAAUAUCCAGCUCAUCUUUAGUUACUUAGCAUCCAUACAUACCCUUGUACACGUAUGUGAACAUUUACGAGCUAGCAUAACAACUUUAUGCUUCUGCCUAACAAGAUAUAGCUAUUUUUCAGGCUACUGAAAAUGUUUUCAUUCUCUCCCCAAAAAGAGUAGACAAAAAGUCCCGACAGUCAUUUUUUCUUCAUUUAUGGGAAUUUUAACUACUUUUCUACUUCAGGCACAGACCAUCCUGAACAUGCAGUAACCUAAGACUAUGGCUGCCUUUUAAAUUCCUUGGUGGUGUCUUUUGAAGAGACAAAGUUUUAAUUUUAAAAAGUUCAAUACAUGAAUUUUUGUUUUAUGAUUAGUCUUUACCUACUCUAAGGAUAUGAAGAUAGUGUUCUAUAUUUUUUCUAGAAGCUUUAUAAUUUUAGCUUUUAUGUUUAGGUCUAUGAUUCAUUUCAAGUUAAUUUUUAUGUAUGGUGUGAGGUAGAAGUUGAACUUCAAUAUUUUCCAUAGGAUAUCCAGCAAUUUCAGCACCAUUUGUUUUAUCUUUUCCUUAUUAAAUUUUGGCACCUUUGUCAAAACUCAGUUGACCUUAUACAUCUGUUUCUGGGCUCUCUGUUGACCUAUUUGUCUAUGCUUAGGCCAAUACUGCAAUGUCCUGAUUGCUGUAGAUUUAUAGUAAAUCUAGGAAUUAGGUGAUGUAGUUCCUUCAACUUUGUUCUUCUCUUUUGAGAUGGUUUGGGGAUAUUGUGUUUGCAUUUCCAUGUCAGUUUUCCAAUCAGUUGAUCAAUUUCUUAAAAAAUUUGGUUGGUAUAUUAGUUUCCUAUUGCUGCUGUUACAAAUUACCAAAAACUUAGUGGCUUUAAAUAACACAGAUUUAUUAUCUUACAUUUUUGGAGAUCGGAAGUCCAAAAUGGGUGUCUCUGAGAUAAAUGCAAGAUUUUAGUAGGGUUGCAUUCUUUUCUGGAGGCUCUAGGGAGAAUUCAUUUUCUUGCCUUUUCCAGUUUCUAGGGUCUGCUAUAUUCAUUGGCUUAUGGCCUCCUUCCAUCUUCAAGCUAGGAAUGGCCAGUCUAGUCUUUCUCCAUUGAGCACUCUGACAUUGACUCUUCUGCCUCUGUUUUCCUUCAUUUAAGGACGCUUGUGAUUACAUUGGGAACAUCCAGAUAAUUCCGAAUAAUCUCCCUCUUUUAAGAUUUGUGAUUAGCAGCCUUAAUUCCAUCUGCAACUUUAAUUCUCUCUUACCACAUCACAUAAUAUAUUCACAGGUUCAAAGGGAUAGGAUGAGGACAUCUUUUAGAGAGCCAUUAUUCUGCCUACUUAGUUGGAGAUGUUUUGAAUCUGGAGAUCAGUUUGGGGAAAACUGACAUGAUAACAAUAUUAUGUCUUCCAAUCCAUGAACAUGGUCUAGCUCCAUAUUUAUUUAGGCCUUCUUUGAUUUCUCUUAGUGCUGUUUAAUAGUUUUCAAAGCAGAGGUCUUGCACAUCAUUUGUUUAGAUUUAUUCCUAUUUUAAAAUGCUAUUUUAACUUGUUUUAUUUUUAAAUUUCAAUUUUCUAUUGUUUCUUGCUUAUAUAGAAAUGCAACUG